CUGCCCAAUGACUUUAGUUCCAUGGCCGCGGUACCCUGACCGUGCCAAGGUAGCAUAAUCACUUGCCCCUUAAUUAGGGGCUGGCAUGAAUGGACACACGAAAGCUUAACUGUCUCAUAAUAACUAAUAAAAAUUAAUCUUUAAGUGAAAAAGCUUAAAUUCCAUUGCAGGACAAGAAGACCCCGUUGAGCUUUAUUCUCUAUAGACCACCACUAAUAUUUACUAUAUCAUAAACCUAAAAAAGAAUUUAGUUGGGGUGACUAAGGAACAUCAAAAUCUUCCUUUUAUUAACCAGGGCUAUUACCCAAAACAAUUGACCCAUAACCAUGAACAAAAAAAUAAGCUACCACAGGGAUAACAGGCUAAUCUUUCUCAAGAGCCCAAAUUGUCAGAAAGGAUUGGCACCUCGAUGUUGGCUUAGGGGCCCCUAAUAGUGCAGAAGCUAUUAAUGGUAG
rnacentral:rRNA from 1 species